UAUGUAUUCUCACUUUCUCACUCCUUCCUUAAUUGAGAGGCAGAGCUCCUGCCAUUCCUUCAAAAACAAAAUGUAUUCUCACUUUCUCAGUAUAUGCAGGAUUCUUAUUCUGAUUACAUAGUGGUGAAUGGGGCUAACCUCGAAUACUACCAUAAUGCCACUACCUUUUGUAGAUCAUCUCCAUCGGAUCCUCCUAACUGAUAUAAUAUAACUCUGAGAUCAGAUUAUAGUAGUGCAAGUGCACAAGGGUUCAUCAAUUCUUUGAGCUGUACAUCGUAUAAUCUUGUUGGAUCUUUCUGAAAACACUGUUGCACUCUAGGGAAUUGAAUGUGUGUUCUGUUUGUUAGAAAAUGCUUUUGCCAAAGUUUUGUAGAGCAUGAGCAUAUCCUUUGAAGGUUGAACCCCAAAUGCGGCCAUGGAACAUAUAUGUGUGCAAAAGUUAUGGUAAUGAAGGCAAUAUUCUGUUACUGCAACAGCCAAAAUGAUUAUUGUUAAGUGCAUGCAACUUUAUCUGCUAAGUCCUCAAGUAUGAAGUCUUCAACUACAUGUUGCAUAUUAUUUCCUAAGCCUGCUGUCAACAGACCUAAUGUUCUGGACUCUUGCCUACAGGCUACGGCCUUUUACAUGGAUGAUCUGGUAAACUAAAAAUACCUCAAAGUUCAGCUUCUUGAGCUCGUGGGGCCUUCAUAUGAAAAAUAGAAUUUGCAAACAUUGAUGGAAAAGAUAAAUAAGAAGAUCUACAAGUGCCAUUCUUUUUUGAAAAAAUACAAGCGCCAUUCUCAAUCAGAGCACAACUUCUUUUUCUGCUGGACCACAAGCUAUCCUGCUCAAGUGUGAAAUGCAAGCUUGCCUAACUAUUGCUGACAACAGUAUCAAACAUUGCAUGGCAGCAGUAUUGGCAUGAAGGUUUGGUUGAAUCAACGGGGGUUCUGGCACUUAAGAAGUCAACAAGAAACUACUACUCUAUUCAUCGGAGCAAUUUCAGAUAUUCCUGCUUGGGUCCUACUCGUUCUAUGAUCUACCUGUUGAUUGGCAGGUCCGGCCAGUGCCGUCUUAAGCAGCUGUGAACCAAGUGCUCCUUCACAAUGCACUCAUCUAGUUCAACAGAAUAGCUGCAUGAAAUCGAUGGUGCUCACACCCGCAAGCACUCAUUCCGUAUGAGGAAUUAUGUCCCAAAUCUUGCCAAGAUUACAGUUAUCUUCAGAAUCAAUCGCUACUGUACAUCAUUUGGUUUGAUGUUGAGCAAGGUUUGCAGCAUUCGUCAGGUUCUUGCCAACGCAAGGAUGGCAGGACGAAGCUAAGUUGAAGAUUCUGGCAAAAUCGACCAGGGCAUUAUUGUACUUGUGGACAUCCAACAUCCUCAAAAACUCAGAGCAUGCUUUAGAGAUUAGGGAAGGGGGUCUAACGAUCUACUGCUGUUUGAGACCUCUAA